CCCUUAGAUGUUCUGGGCUGCACGCGCGCUACACUGAUGCGCUCAACGAGUUUUAACCUUGCCUGGAAAGGUUGGGUAAUCUUUUUAAAACGCAUCGUGAUGGGGAUAGAUUAUUGCAAUUAUUAAUCUUCAACGAGGAAUUCCUAGUAAGCGCAGGUCAUCAGCCUGCGUUGAUUACGUCCCUGCCCUUUGUACACACCGCCCGUCGCUCCUACCGAUUGAAUGAUCCGGUGAAGUCUUCGGACUGAGCGUCUGGAAGCAAUUCCAUUCGUCUCGGGAAGUUGGAUGAACCUUAUCAUUUAGAGGAAGGAGAAGUCGUAACA
rnacentral:rRNA from 1 species